GGUUAAGUGACUAAGCGUACACGGUGGAUGCCUUGGCAGUCAGAGGCGAUGAAAGACGUAGUAACUUGCGAUAAGCCCAGAUUAGGUAGUAACAACCAUUUGAGUCUGGGAUUUCUGAAUGGGGAAACCCACGUGCAUAAGCACGUAUCCUUACCUGAAUACAUAGGGUAAGGAGGCGAACCGGGGGAACUGAAACAUCUAAGUACCCCGAGGAAAAGAAAUCAACCGAGAUUCCGAAAGUAGCGGCGAGCGAAAUUGGACUAGCCCUUAAGCUUUACACGCGUUAGACGAACGGUCUGGAAAGUCCGACGAUACAGGGUGAUAGUCCCGUAGUUGACGACGUGUGUUCAGUGAAAUCGAGUAGGGCGGGACACGUGAUAUCCUGUCUGAAUAUGGGGGGACCAUCCUCCAAGGCUAAAUACUACUGACUGACCGAUAGUGAACCAGUACCGUGAGGGAAAGGCGAAAAGAACCCUGUGAGGGGAGUGAAAUAGAACCUGAAACCGUGUACGUACAAGCAGUAGGAGCAGGCUUUGUCCUGUGACUGCGUACCUUUUGUAUAAUGGGUCAGCGACUUAUAUUCAGUGGCAAGGUUAACCAUCUAGGGGAGCCGUAGGGAAACCGAGUCUUAACUGGGCGUUCAGUCUCUGGAUAUAGACCCGAAACCAGGUGAUCUAGCCAUGGGCAGGUUGAAGGUUGAGUAACAUCAACUGGAGGACCGAACCGACUAAUGUUGAAAAAUUAGCGGAUGACUUGUGGCUAGGGGUGAAAGGCCAAUCAAACCUGGAGAUAGCUGGUUCUCCCCGAAAGCUAUUUAGGUAGCGCCUCGGACGAAUACUACUGGGGGUAGAGCACUGUUAAGGCUAGGGGGUCAUCCCGACUUACCAACCCUUUGCAAACUCCGAAUACCAGUAAGUACUAUCCGGGAGACACACGGCGGGUGCUAACGUCCGUCGUGGAGAGGGAAACAACCCAGACCGCCAGCUAAGGUCCCAAAUUACUACUAAGUGGGAAACGAUGUGGGAAGGCUCAGACAGCCAGGAUGUUGGCUUAGAAGCAGCCAUCAUUUAAAGAAAGCGUAAUAGCUCACUGGUCGAGUCGGCCUGCGCGGAAGAUGUAACGGGGCUAAGUAGUAAACCGAAGCUGCGGCAAUAUACUUUUGUAUAUUGGGUAGGGGAGCGUUCUGUAAGCGGUUGAAGGUGUGUGGUAACGCAUGCUGGACGUAUCAGAAGUGCGAAUGCUGACAUGAGUAACGAUAAAGGGGGUGAAAAACCUCCUCGCCGGAAGACCAAGGGUUCCUGUCCAACGUUAAUCGGGGCAGGGUAAGUCGACCCCUAAGGCGAGGCCGAAAGGCGUAGUCGAUGGGAAACGGGUUAAUAUUCCCGUACUUCUUACAAUUGCGAUGGGGGGACGGAGAAGGCUAGGUGGGCCUGGCGACGGUUGUCCAGGUUCAAGUGCGUAGGCUUAAGAGUUAGGUAAAUCCGGCUCUUUUUAAGGCUGAGACACGACGUCGAGCACCUACGGGUGUGAAGUCAUUGAUGCCAUGCUUCCAGGAAAAGCCUCUAAGCUUCAGAUUGUAAGGAAUCGUACCCCAAACCGACACAGGUGGUCGGGUAGAGAAUACCAAGGCGCUUGAGAGAACUCGGGUGAAGGAACUAGGCAAAAUGGUACCGUAACUUCGGGAGAAGGUACGCUCUUGAUGGUGAAGUCCCUCGCGGAUGGAGCUGACGAGAGUCGCAGAUACCAGGUGGCUGCAACUGUUUAUUAAAAACACAGCACUGUGCAAAAUCGUAAGAUGACGUAUACGGUGUGACGCCUGCCCGGUGCCGGAAGGUUAAUUGAUGGGGUUAGACUUCGGUCGAAGCUCUUGAUCGAAGCCCCGGUAAACGGCGGCCGUAACUAUAACGGUCCUAAGGUAGCGAAAUUCCUUGUCGGGUAAGUUCCGACCUGCACGAAUGGCGUAAUGAUGGCCACGCUGUCUCCACCCGAGACUCAGUGAAAUUGAAAUCGCUGUGAAGAUGCAGUGUACCCGCGGCUAGACGGAAAGACCCCGUGAACCUUUACUACAGCUUGGCACUGAACAUUGACCCUACAUGUGUAGGAUAGGUGGGAGGCUUUGAAGCACGUACGCCAGUAUGUGUGGAGCCGUCCUUGAAAUACCACCCUUGUAGUGUUGAUGUUCUAACGUCGACCCCUAAUCGGGGUUGCGGACAGUGCCUGGUGGGUAGUUUGACUGGGGCGGUCUCCUCCCAAAGAGUAACGGAGGAGCACGAAGGUGGGCUAAUCACGGUUGGACAUCGUGAGGUUAGUGCAAUGGCAUAAGCCCGCUUGACUGCGAGAAUGACAAUUCGAGCAGGUGCGAAAGCAGGUCAUAGUGAUCCGGUGGUUCUGAAUGGAAGGGCCAUCGCUCAACGGAUAAAAGGUACUCCGGGGAUAACAGGCUGAUACCGCCCAAGAGUUCAUAUCGACGGCGGUGUUUGGCACCUCGAUGUCGGCUCAUCACAUCCUGGGGCUGAAGUCGGUCCCAAGGGUAUGGCUGUUCGCCAUUUAAAGUGGUACGCGAGCUGGGUUUAGAACGUCGUGAGACAGUUCGGUCCCUAUCUGCCGUGGGCGUUGGAAGAUUGAAGGGGGCUGCUCCUAGUACGAGAGGACCGGAGUGGACGAACCUCUGGUGUUCGGGUUGUGUCGCCAGACGCAUUGCCCGGUAGCUAAGUUCGGAAUCGAUAACCGCUGAAAGCAUCUAAGCGGGAAGCGAGCCCUGAGAUGAGUCUUCCCUGAUACUUUAAGUAUCCUAAAGGGUUGUCGGAGACUACGACGUUGAUAGGUCAGGUGUGUAAGUGCUGUGAGGCAUUGAGCUAACUGAUACUAAUUGCCCGUGAGGCUUAACCAU
rnacentral:rRNA from 1 species